CCUACGGGAGGCAGCAGUGGGGAAUAUUGCACAAUGGGGGAAACCCUGAUGCAGCGACGCCGCGUGAGUGAAGAAGUAUUUCGGUACGUAAAUCUCUAUCAGCAGGGAAGAAAAUGACGGUACCUGACUAAGAAGCCCCGGCUAACUACGUGCCAGCAGCCGCGGUAAUACGUAGGGGGCAAGCGGUAUCCGGAUGUACUGGUUGUAAAGGGAGCGUAGACGGCAGCGCAAGUCUGGAGUGAAAGCCCAUGGCUUAACCAUGGAACUGCUUUGGAAACUGUGCAGCUAGAGUGCAGGAGAGGUAAGCGGAAUUCCUAGUGUAGCGGUGAAAUGCGUAGAUAGUAGGAGGAACACCAGUGGCGAAGGCGGCUUACUGGACUGUAACUGACGUUGAGGCUCGAAAGCGUGGGGAGCAAACAGGAUUAGAUACCCUUGUAGUC
rnacentral:rRNA from 1 species